GACAGAGGGUGCAAACGUUGUUCGGAAUUACUGGGCGUAAAGCGCGUGUAGGCGGCUCGGCAAGUCGGAUGUGAAAUCCCCAGGCUUAACCUGGGAACUGCAUUCGAGACUGCAUUGCUAGAGUAUGGGAGAGGGAAGUGGAAUUUCCGGUGUAGCGGUGAAAUGCGUAGAUAUCGGAAGGAACAUCAGUGGCGAAAGCGACUUCCUGGACCAAUACUGACGCUCAUGUGCGAAAGCGUGGGGAGCAAACAGG
rnacentral:rRNA from 1 species